rnacentral:rRNA from 1 species
GAUGAACGCUAGCUACAGGCUUAACACAUGCAAGUCGAGGGGCGGCAUUUUAGUUUGCUUGCAAACUAAAGAUGGCGACCGGCGCACGGGUGAGUAACACGUAUCCAACCUGCCGAUAACUCGGGGAUAGCCUUUCGAAAGAAAGAUUAAUAUCCGAUGGUAUAUUAAAACCGCAUGGUUUUACUAUUAAAGAAUUUCGGUUAUCGAUGGGGAUGCGUUCCAUUAGUUUGUUGGCGGGGUAACGGCCCACCAAGACUACGAUGGAUAGGGGUUCUGAGAGGAAGGUCCCCCACAUUGGAACUGAGACACGGUCCAAACUCCUACGGGAGGCAGCAGUGAGGAAUAUUGGUCAAUGGACGAGAGUCUGAACCAGCCAAGUAGCGUGAAGGAUGACUGCCCUAUGGGUUGUAAACUUCUUUUAUAUGGGAAUAAAGUAUUCCACGUGUGGGAUUUUGUAUGUACCAUAUGAAUAAGGAUCGGCUAACUCCGUGCCAGCAGCCGCGGUAAUACGGAGGAUCCGAGCGUUAUCCGGAUUUAUUGGGUUUAAAGGGAGCGUAGGUGGAUUGUUAAGUCAGUUGUGAAAGUUUGCGGCUCAACCGUAAAAUUGCAGUUGAAACUGGCAGUCUUGAGUACAGUAGAGGUGGGCGGAAUUCGUGGUGUAGCGGUGAAAUGCUUAGAUAUCACGAAGAACUCCGAUUGCGAAGGCAGCUCACUAGACUGCAACUGACACUGAUGCUCGAAAGUGUGGGUAUCAAACAGGAUUAGAUACCCUGGUAGUCCACACAGUAAACGAUGAAUACUCGCUGUUUGCGAUAUACAGUAAGCGGCCAAGCGAAAGCAUUAAGUAUUCCACCUGGGGAGUACGCCGGCAACGGUGAAACUCAAAGGAAUUGACGGGGGCCCGCACAAGCGGAGGAACAUGUGGUUUAAUUCGAUGAUACGCGAGGAACCUUACCCGGGCUUAAAUUGCAUUUGGAUAAUCUGGAAACAGGUUAGCCGCAAGGCAAAUGUGAAGGUGCUGCAUGGUUGUCGUCAGCUCGUGCCGUGAGGUGUCGGCUUAAGUGCCAUAACGAGCGCAACCCUUAUCUUUAGUUACUAACAGGUCAUGCUGAGGACUCUAGAGAGACUGCCGUCGUAAGAUGUGAGGAAGGUGGGGAUGACGUCAAAUCAGCACGGCCCUUACGUCCGGGGCUACACACGUGUUACAAUGGGGGGUACAGAAGGCAGCUACCUGGCGACAGGAUGCUAAUCCCAAAAACCUCUCUCAGUUCGGAUCGAAGUCUGCAACCCGACUUCGUGAAGCUGGAUUCGCUAGUAAUCGCGCAUCAGCCAUGGCGCGGUGAAUACGUUCCCGGGCCU